rnacentral:rRNA from 1 species
GACUGUGGCCAAACAUCUUUGUCAAAGCCUGAUCUUGUCAGUUCUCAGCAGCUAAGUAGAGCAGGGCCUGGUUAGGACUUGGAUGGGAGACUACUGGGAGUUCCAGGUGCCACAGUGG